ACUACAUGAUCUUUGAGGUCCCUCCCAGCCCAAGCCAUUCUAUGAUUCCAUGCUUAAAUAUCUAUAAGGUCAGAAGUCUUGUGGCAUAUGGGGAUAGAAAAGCUCUGGGAUAGACCACAUGAGGUGGAGGGAGAUCAGAGGUCUCUGAGAUGGCUGCUUCCUCAGGGAAGGGUAUUUGUGUUCUGCUUCUAACUUGAGACCAUCAGCUGAAAGGAGAGAAAGCAAAGCCAAAAUCUGUCCUGCACUGAAAAUGGUCCUUCCAAAUGAGACUGCAAGCUGAACUUGGGGCUUUCUGAGCUAGCCAGCCACUACUACUCUGAUUCUGAAAAUCAGUCUCUGAGACCUCUCACCAUUUUCCAUGCUUCUGCAGAAACUAUGAUUCAGAUAGAUGGAUUUAGGAGAUAGGGUCAACUCUAGGUUUCACAGCAUGGGUAUCAUGACCCUUCACAUAGGAGCCUUCAGCCUCAUGAGGGCAUCAGGAACCCCAGCCUUCCAAAGGUGAUCUGGCUGGAAGAGAGAUGCUGACAUCAGAAUGAUCAUCCUCCAAGUGAGCAGAUGAGGCACAGGAACCUUUGGAAAAGACCCAACAAUGCAGAAAGGGGCAAAGUCCUAUUUACAUUAAGAUGUUCAUCUUUUGCAGAGGAAGGUGAUGACAGCUGGGAUGAGGAAAGGGGAAAAAAAUUCAGGGCAGCACCCUGUGUGGGAAAGGAUCUCUCUCCUGCCUGUCCCAGCUAGCUUGUACUCCAGAGCCAGCCAAACUGGGCACUGGCUCCAGCCAGCCCACAGUGUGGUGAGGCCUUGCACCCCACGCUGCUGCCUCUCAGCAACUUUAAUCCAUCUAUACCUUCUGCUGAUUCUAGGGAUUAACAGGCAGCAUGUGGAGGGCAGAGGACGGAGAAGAAAGUGAUUGCAUUAAUUUAGGACUUGUGCUGCUGAACCUGCCUGCAUCACUGCCUCUGGAACAAGGCUGAGCAUCCUCAAAAGCCAGAGGAGAAAGAUGCUGCUGGACCUCCCAGAUUCCGAGUGAUGACCUCUAAAGAAUGACUGGCCUGUUUUGAAUGGUCUCCUAAUCUCCAGCAUUAACGUCCUCCUCUGAAGGUGCUUUCAGGUGCUUGCCCAUCCCAUCACGAGGAAAAUUACUCCCCUUUUUGGGAGGAAAAGAGAAACCUAACAGAGGAAGAUACUAAUUAACCGAUAUGUCACUGCACAUUAUUAAGUUUUACCCAUUUGGCAAUAAAUCCAUGUCAUGCCUGCUCCC
rnacentral:lncRNA from 1 species